CAGCCGCCGGGAAUACAGAGGGUGCAAGCGUUAAUCGGAAUUACUGGGCGUAAAGCGCGCGUAGGUGGUUUGUUAAGUUGGAUGUGAAAGCCCCGGGCUCAACCUGGGAACUGCAUCCAAAACUGGCAAGCUAGAGUACGGUAGAGGGUGGUGGAAUUUCCUGUGUAGCGGUGAAAUGCGUAGAUAUAGGAAGGAACACCAGUGGCGAAGGCGACCACCUGGACUGAUACUGACACUGAGGUGCGAAAGCGUGGGGAGCAAACAGGAUUAGAUACCCGCGUAGUCCCUGUCUCUUAUACAC
rnacentral:rRNA from 1 species